CUUUUUGCAGCCGCGGCGGAGGAGACAGGUGCGAAGGGAGGAGCGGGCAGAGCCAGAGGAUGCUGGAGGAGAAUGAGAGAGAGAGAGAGACUUCGCCGCCGCCCUCUUCUUCCUCCUCUUCCAAGGUUGUCCAUAUCCUUCUUGGAUUGUGGGGCCCAGAACUGGACACAGUCUUCCAGACUAUUUUAAGGACGGAAGGCAAUGGAUGACUCCUGGAAGUUGCAAAACGUCGUUUGAUAGGCUCCAUGGCAAUUCAUCCUUGAAAUGGAUUAUAAGUGCGUGGAAACGGGGAGACACCAGCAUCUGAUGAGGUCCUUAACCUAUUGUGUAAGUUAAUUUCAGCCUAUAUGUUUUAUGUAUCCAUAAGUCCACACAUACUUUUAAUGAAAAUAAUUGUCUUUUUUGUACAAAAGAACCCUGUCCCUAAAUUAAUUGGCCCUUGUCUGAUUACUAGCUGUCCCUGAACUAGAAAUACAAAACCACAGCUAUGUUUUAAAGAACUCAGCAGAGACUCAAUUAGGUGUAUAUUCCAGAUGAGUUGCAUGAAUGUUUUUUCCUCAAAUUGCUUCAGUAGCCUGUUCUCCAGAGCAGAGAUCAUCCUGGCAGAGUGUGCUUCCACUUCUUUGCUUGUGUUGGAUGUGAGAUGUGUAUUUUUUUCCUUUUUGCUGUAUCUGAUUCUGCAACUGAUUAGACAUGCUGUUCUUUCCUAAGGUAAUGAUAUCUUAAUAUUCUGAGGAACAGACAUAGUUUAGAUAUAGGACCUUCUUUGUGUUGGCAUCCUGACUUUGGAAUGCAUUCUCAAGGGAGAUAGUCGAAGCACCAAGGCUGUACCUCUUUCAGCCUCCUGUUAAAAUAUUUUUAGCCCUCACAAAUUUUAAAAUAUGACAGUUUCAAUUUAUAUUUUAUCUGGGAGAAAUAGCUUUAUACCUCAUGAAAUCUGAGUUUAUUUUUACAACAUCUACUAUUUCAUUUUAUUCAGUGCCUAAAUUUUCUUUCCAUAAUCCUAAAAAUACUUGGUAGGAAGAUAUGCUUUAUAAAUAUUUAUGAUAAAAAGCAUUUGUUGAAAGAUUAGUUCUUCUUUGUCUUGCUUUACAUUUAUGUCUUUAUACCAAUAUUGUAUUUCAUAGUAUGUUUAUAGGAUUUUAUUUUAAUUGUGUCAGAUCCACUGCCCCGAGAGAACUUUAUGAUCCAUAAUGACAGUAAUGCUUCCUCUUUGUUAUUAUUUCUGUUGGCCCAUCUCACUUUCCUCCCUGCUUGCUCUGAUUUAACAGAUUAUAAAAAUGGCCUCAGGAGUCAACCACUGGGAAAAUUCAGACAGAGAGAAAGCUCAAGUGAGAACUCAUGCAAUUUAUGGCAGUUUAAAGUGUGCUACUUAGCAGAUUUAUUGUGGCAAAAGUUUUCUUGCAAGAGGGUCAACUUCAUCAGAUGCUUGAAGUGUCUCCUUAGUUGGCUGAGGAAGGGAAAAAUUCAAUCCAGAAAGGCAGUAAAUGUGAGAAGUCCAGUCUGUAACAUUUCUAUGGAAGUGUUUAUAUAUGUGAGAUAUAUAAAAAUGCAUCCAUUUUCAUUUUACAGUCUUUAAGGUGCUACAGAAAUCUUCAUUCUUGUUCUUUUGUGCUUCCUUUAACACUUUUUUUUCCUUGUGUCGGGGGAACAGGCUGGUGAAAGAGCC